rnacentral:rRNA from 1 species
GAUGAACGCUGGCGGCGUGCCUAAUACAUGCAAGUCGAGCGAACAGACGAGGAGCUUGCUCCUCUGACGUUAGCGGCGGACGGGUGAGUAACACGUGGAUAACCUACCUAUAAGACUGGGAUAACUUCGGGAAACCGGCGCUAAUACCGGAUAAUAUAUUGAACCGCAUGGUUCAAUAGUGAAAGACGGUUUUGCUGUCACCUAUAGAUGGAUCCGCGCCGCAUUAGCUAGUUGGUAAGGUAACGGCUUACCAAGGCAACGAUGCGUAGCCGACCUGAGAGGGUGAGCGGCCACACUGGAACUGAGACACGGUCCAGACUCCUACGGGAGGCAGCAGUAGGGAAUCUUCCGCAAUGGGCGAAAGCCUGACGGAGCAACGCCGCGUGAGUGAUGAAGGUCUUCGGAUCGUAAAACUCUGUUAUUAGGGAAGAACAAAUGUGUAAGUAACUAUGCACGUCUUGACGGUACCUAAUCAGAAAGCCACGGCUAACUACGUG